AAGCGACACAGGCUCUACAAGCUGUUUUGGAGGUGUCUGAACACGCUUGGGGUGUGGCAGGACGAGGAGUACUUGAGAGCGAAGGAGCUGCGCACUGCAAGGGAUGACAGGAGAGACAUCAUGCCACGCUGUGUAAUUGAAGAAAUUCGAAGACGCUAUCCUACAGAUGACGGACAUUAUAGGGAUUACAUGAGUACAUUUGACGCCAGUAUUGAAUACGACACUACAGACGAUAAUAUAGAAGAUUAAUUUUAGUACAAACAGACUCAUUAUUAAUUGUAUGUAAAAUUAAUGAUAAACAUAGGAUGACGUAUGACUGGCUAAAAGGGGGUUAGCGAAACAAAAGUACAUUAUACCAACAUACUCACACAAUCAGACGUCUGGUCCCACACAGCCAGGAUCAUCAUCCUCGUAAUCACUGUCUGAAUCAGGUACAAUCUCCCCAUCUUCUAAAGUAUCAGAAUCAUCGCCAUCAUCGCCAUCAUCUUCAUCAAGAAAACUACAACAAUAACAAUAAGUAUUGUACUGAUCACUAGAUACGUUGACUUACUCCAAGCUUGUCAUGUUCUUUGUAACGUAGGUGGUCCACAGUACAUAAGCAAACUCAUACGUUUUCUUGACGAGAGCUUUCAUGGCAGUUCUGCGGUCAGGUCGCCGAAGGUCUUUCAACUUGCGCUCGCUUGUGUGCUCUCGUCCCACGUUCUCAUUCUGAAUAUAAUUAUUAAUAUCAAAUUGUCAGGGAAGUAGUAACCUUACCCAGUCCAACACAGCCAAGUUCAUUCUCAUAGAGAAAACCCUGGUAGAGUAGUGGAUCCUCUUUGAGAUGUAGCAGAGAAGCUGGUGGUUGAAACUUUCCACCCAAUACAUAUCACGACACUAUAUACAGCACACAGUCUAAGUAGGUUAUAGUCAUACUCAACGAACAUACCCUACAGAAGGACUCUGGGAAGCGAUAGAUGUAGGUGUCCUUCAAUUGUUUCUCCAGCUGCUGGACAGUAGCCGGGUCAGUCAGCAGAUCCUUGCCAGGAGCGUAGUGAGGGAGAUGACAAGUCGAUGAAGGGUGGCAUUCAAGGUGGUUGUCCUAAAAAUUACUAGUGUAAUAAUAAUUAUUAUUGCAUUACUUUACCUGAUAGUGCAUAGCGAUAUUUUCUAUCAGACUACGAAGCUUCUGGCCAUCACCAUCACAAUUCUUCAUAGCCCAGUAUAGAUGCACCUUUAUACUCUUUCCUAAAGAACACUGAAAACACACCAUUACACAUAAGUAUAGGAAACGUACGCUUGUCAACCAGCUCAGGAAACCAUGUCAGUCCCUUGUCUCUAACUCGACCCUGAGUAACCUUCUGGAGACACUUUGACAAAUUCUUGGUCCCUGAAUAAAACAGUUCUGAACAGUGUACUUUAUUAUUACUAAUACUUACCAUGCCAUGUAUCAAAGGAGUUCUUCAGUCCCAGAUCAGAGGUCACGUAACGAGACACUUGAUGCUGCAUAUCAUGCGCCACUUCUACAACAUUCAGACCUGAAUUACAAUACUGAUUAGCAUAGUACAUACACAAAAAGGUGCCAUACCACGAGCAAUUGCCUGUGGCACAGCAAUCUUAGUGCACUGCAAUUCUCGUGUCUGAGCAACACCGUGGUCUGUUCGAGACACUGUAGAUAUCCCAACUAUCUUCUUGGUGCUAGGAAGAAAGUAGGUAAACAGAUAUAUACAAUUUUAAUAAUCGUAUGUACCUUCCAGCGAGACAAGGCACAGUAGUGUGGUAGGCAUUAGCAGUGGAGUCAUGCCUGGCGUCAGUAAUGACCCACUAACAAGACAAAAACAUACUUUUACUAAAAUCGUAUUCCUUCUUACCUCUCCAUUCUCGGCAUAAGCUGGCAGGGCCUUCACUUCAUCCACUGCAGCAUUCAUGCUCUCCUCUGCCAUCCUGCCCACUAUAUCAGAGUAUCCACUGGCGUAGUACACUGCAUACAGUGCAAUCAGUAAUUUCAACAAAAUUUUUCUUCGCACCUUUCUUCAUGUACCCAUGUCCAACAUGGCCGAUUCCCGCAAACUUAGAGAGUUUGAUGUACUGGACUGGCAGCACACCGGCACAGGUGAGACUGUGAACCAUUCUAAAUACACAUGUAAAUGAUUUUAUGUUUGGUAUAAUGUGAGAAACUUACUUUUGGUUCAAGAAGUAACGCGCUCCAAACACUCUGGAGCUGGACCACGUUCUCUCAGCGACAUGGCAUCUGCGGCACGAGAACUUUAGCCUCAGGACAUGGCCCUUCUAUUAUAGAAGAUAAUAUUUGUAUAUAUAAUUAUAGCUACACGUACCUGAACAAGUGAUCCUACUGUCCAAGGGUUGACAGAUAAGCCACACGAACAAGAUGUCUUCAACCCCUCCAACAAAUCAGCCAGACACGUCCUCUCAGUGAGGAAUGCAGCUUCAUCAUCUGGUCUAAUAUUACCAGUAUAGAUGCCUGUAUUUACAAAUAGUAGCUAUAUUAAAGACAAAGGCCUGUGCCCACUAGCAGCCAGUGUAUACUAUUUACAUCUACUUGCUACAAACAGUAACUUACCACUGUCUUUGUUGAAUGACUGUCUUGCAGGAACUACACUAGGACUACCCGCGUAAGGCGCGGGAAUCAGCUGCUCAACCAGGUCAAACAUGGCUGACAUCAAACCAGCGUUGUCCAGGGUUGGCUGUCCAGCAGGAGAAAGCACAGAGCGUAUAUGCUCAGCCCUUGUCUUGAAUGCAGCCUUAGCUGCUUCAUUGUCAAAAUUGACAACUAGAGAAUGUCUGAAACGAUUUCUUUGACUUGCCAUAGCGCAAACUACUCGUACACGUGUCUGGUUGCUGGCUUAGAUCUAAA